UUGACCUCGGAUCAGGUAGGAGUUACCCGCUGAACUUAAGCAUAUCAAUAAGUCGGAGGAA
rnacentral:rRNA from 1 species